rnacentral:rRNA from 1 species
GACGAACGCUGGCGGCGUGCCUAAUACAUGCAAGUAGAACGCACAGUUUAUACCGUAGCUUGCUACACCAUAGACUGUGAGUUGCGAACGGGUGAGUAACGCGUAGGUAACCUGCCUGGUAGCGGGGGAUAACUAUUGGAAACGAUAGCUAAUACCGCAUAAUAUUAAUUAUUGCAUGAUAAUUAAUUGAAAGGUGCAAUUGCACCACUACCAGAUGGACCUGCGUUGUAUUAGCUAGUAGGUGAGGUAACGGCUCACCUAGGCGACGAUACAUAGCCGACCUGAGAGGGUGAUCGGCCAGACUGGGAGUGAGACACGGCCCAGACUCCUACGGGAGGCAGCAGUAGGGAAUCUUCGGCAAUGGACGAAAGUCUGACCGAGCAACGCCGCGUGAGUGAAGAAGGUUUUCGGAUCGUAAAGCUCUGUUGUAAGAGAAGAACGGGUGUGAGAGUGGAAAGUUCACACUGUGACGGUAUCUUACCAGAAAGGGACGGCUAACUACGUG